rnacentral:rRNA from 1 species
GAUGAACGCUAGCGGCAGGCUUAACACAUGCAAGUCGAGGGGUAGAAGGAGCUUGCUCCUUUGAGACCGGCGCACGGGUGCGUAACGCGUAUGCAAUCUACCUUUUGCAGAGGGAUAGCCCAGAGAAAUUUGGAUUAAUACCUCAUAGUAUGUGAGGAUGGCAUCAUUUUCACAUUAAAGUCACAACGGCAAAAGAUGAGCAUGCGUCCCAUUAGCUAGUUGGUAAGGUAACGGCUUACCAAGGCUACGAUGGGUAGGGGUCCUGAGAGGGAGAUCCCCCACACUGGUACUGAGACACGGACCAGACUCCUACGGGAGGCAGCAGUGAGGAAUAUUGGACAAUGGGCGGCAAGCCUGAUCCAGCCAUGCCGCGUGCAGGAUGACGGUCCUAUGGAUUGUAAACUGCUUUUGUACAGGAAGAAACACUACUUCGUGAAGUAGCUUGACGGUACUGUAAGAAUAAGGAUC